rnacentral:rRNA from 1 species
CCUACGGGCGGCAGCAGUGGGGAAUAUUGGACAAUGGGCGAAAGCCUGAUCCAGCCAUGCCGCGUGUGUGAAGAAGGCCUUCGGGUUGUAAAGCACUUUCAGUGGGGAAGAAAGCCUUGGGGCUAAUACCCUCGAGGAAGGACAUCACCCACAGAAGAAGCACCGGCUAACUCCGUGCCAGCAGCCGCGGUAAUACGGAGGGUGCGAGCGUUAAUCGGAAUUACUGGGCGUAAAGCGCGCGUAGGCGGUCUGAUAAGCCGGUUGUGAAAGCCCCGGGCUCAACCUGGGAACGGCAUCCGGAACUGCCAGGCUAGAGUGCAGGAGAGGAAGGUAGAAUUCCCGGUGUAGCGGUGAAAUGCGUAGAGAUCGGGAGGAAUACCAGUGGCGAAGGCGGCCUUCUGGACUGACACUGACGCUGAGGUGCGAAAGCGUGGGUAGCAAACAGGAUUAGAUACCCGGGUAGUC